AUCCAGCUGAAGAGUCCCAAAUUGGACGAAAUGCGAGUCCUUAAU
rnacentral:hammerhead_ribozyme from 1 species